rnacentral:ncRNA from 1 species
UAGAGCCGGAUGCUUGGCAACUUGCUUGUCCGGUUYGUCGGGGGGAAAGGGAUAGCGAUAUCCCUGCCCCACCCAUU